GUGAGGAAUAUUGGUCAAUGGGCGAGAGCCUGAACCAGCCAUGCCGCGUGCAGGAAGACGGCCCUAUGGGUUGUAAACUGCUUUUUUAUGGGAAGAAAAAGCCUUACGUGUAGGGCACUGACGGUACCAUAUGAAUAAGCAUCGGCUAACUCCGUGCCAGCAGCCGCGGUAAUACGGAGGAUGCGAGCGUUAUCCGGAUUUAUUAGGUUUAAAGGGUGUGUAGGCGGAGAUCUAAGUCAGUGGUGAAAUCCCCCGGCUUAACCGGGGAACUGCCAUAGAUACUGGAUUUCUUGAGUACAGUUGAAGUAGGCGGAAUGUGUAAUGUAGCGGUGAAAUGCAUAGAUAUUACACAGAACACCGAUUGCGAAGGCAGCUUGCUAAGCUGUUACUGACGCUGAUGCACGAAAGCGUGGGGAGCGAACAGGAUUAGAAACCCCAGUAGUCC
rnacentral:rRNA from 1 species